rnacentral:tRNA from 1 species
GGGUCCAUAGCUCAGUGGUAGAGCAUUUGACUGCAGAUCAAGACGUCACCGGUUGGGCCCU